rnacentral:rRNA from 1 species
UACGGAGGGUGCUAGCGUUGUUCGGAAUCACUGGGCGUAAAGGGCGCGUAGGCGGCUUGGUCAGUCCCGUGUGAAAUCCCUCGGCUCAACUGAGGAACUGCACGGGAAACUGCCUGGCUUGAGUUCGGGAGAGGGAAGCGGAAUUCCGGGUGUAGCGGUGAAAUGCGUAGAUAUCCGGAGGAACACCGGUGGCGAAGGCGGCUUCCUGGACCGACACUGACGCUGAGGCGCGAAAGCUAGGGGAGCAAACGGG